CGGUGCCUACUCGAUUUACUGUUACGACCCUGCCCGAUCUGCGUUUUUUUCUUUUGCGACAUGAGUCCCCAUCCGAUUUGUCUCGCGCACGCUCUCUCUGCUUAAUUAAAAUUCAUUUCACGACGCUGCCCGAUUUGUUCAGCGCAUGUCUAAUGUUUUACGACACACGUCAUUUGUCAGGUUUGGCUUGUACUUGCGAGUCAUUUUUGUGUUGUCGUUUAUCUCCGUAUGUAAGUGGACUUGUUACUGGGAAAGAUGGAAACUUUUGCAUUUUAUAACGUCUUGGAAGAUGUGUCGCCUGAAAAAUUUAACUCCAUUCGAAUGAAGAGGGAGCGAAAUGAAAUGUGACGUGUGUCUGAACUUUACAAUGGACAUGUACAGCUUUUUGAUGCCCAGUGGUAACCAGCCUACCAUAUGGCUCAACAGAUGCCAGUGUACCUGAAUACUGAGACACAAUUGGAUGUUCUUUUCUUCUGCUUUUAAGAUUCCCAGUUUGGGAUAAUGUGCAGUUCAUGUUAGAUUUGCUAUUUCUACAGUUACAGUGAAGUAGAAGAGUCCGGUCAUGUUAUGGGGCAGCAGUUAAAGAAGAAGGACGGAGAGAUGUGUGCCAUGUUGAAGUAGCGGUUGGUCCUCCUGCCCGCUCUUCUAGAAUCCUCCAUCUAAACCUUUGUUCUGAUCUGCUGUGCCUUUGCCAAGUGAUCACGAGAAAAGUUCACAAGAUGUCCUAAAAUGGAAUUGUGAUUGGACUGAGACGGCCACAAUUAUGUGUGCUGGGAUGUGCAGAGAGGGCUGUGUAGGCUUUGGCUUGGGACCCCCAGAGGUUUAUUAUCUCCAGUAUCCUUGAAGACUGCAAGUUUGUCUUUGUCCCCAGCCAUUUGACCAGGCAGUGUAUUUAUUACAAAGGACAAGGACCCCAUCCAUUUGCUUCUUAUUUACUUUUAUAAUGCCUUCAAUUUUCUUUGUAACUAUGUUUUUGAAGAGCAAGUUGAGCUACACUUGUAAGAAAAGGUGAUAUAGAAAUAUUAUUACUGAACAAAUGUUAACGGGCAGGUCAGGAAAAAUGUCAUUUUAAAUAGAACACAUUUUUAAUGGAAUAUUGCUGCAUAACAACUCUUUGACUCU